GUCUUCGUUUCUGUGCGAGGGCUCUCUCUAGUUGCGGCAAGCGGGGGCCGCUCUUCAUCGCGGUGCACGGGCCUCUCACCGUCGCGGCCUCUCCCAUAGCGGAGCACAGGCUCCAGACGCGCAGGCUCAGUAGUUGUGGCUCACGGGCUUAGUCGCUCCGUGGCAUGUGGUAUCUUCCCAGACCAGGGCUCGAACCCGUGUCCCUUGCAUUGGCAGGCAGAUUCUUAACCACUGCACCACCAGGGAAGCCCCUCCCCCGAGUUUUGAAUAGUGAGGUUGUGAUGGGAAAACAGAAGGCUGUGGAGGGAAGAUGAUGAGUUUAGGAUCGUUCAAGUUGAGGGUGAGAAGAAUGUGGGGUAUACAAAUGGGGAUGCCCAAGAUGACGUGAACAGCCAGCUCUGGUUCUUGAAAGAGAUUUAGGGGGUGGAGGUAGAGUCGGCAGGAAACAUCUCCCCUGUGGCCCUCAGGUGCCUCAUCUGCACAGUGGGGACCUGAUCUAUUUCCCAGAGUAAGGGAAAAUGAUUAGAUGAUGGGACACGUUGAGUGUGCUGGACCCCACAUGGGCUCACAGUAGGUGCUUAGGGAGUUCUGGUUCUUUGUUUCAGAAGGUCUAUCAGUCCCAUUUCCUACAUGGUCAAACACACCAAGUUCUUUGCAGAUACCACUUCCUCCUCCAGUACCCACAGGACCCAUCUCUCUGUUUUCAAAGUCCCCAGUGCAGUGAUGGGGAGACGUUCCUGGAAAAAGUUGUGGGGAGGGGGAGUGAAGGCAGCUUCCCCCUGCCUGGGCAGGAAGGGAGAGAGCAGUCGGUGCUGUGCGGUGGAGAAGACGUUGUACCAGCGGACCACAGCGCCCAGCCUCUGGACCCAUAGCACCUGGUGCCGCUCUCACCCAUAGAGCUCAUGGAACGGGCUUGCUCCCGUGUCCACUUGGCCAACUGCACUGAACUCCUGGAAAGCAGGAAGAACACAGAUAUAUCUAAACCGAGAGCCUAGCGUGAUCCAGGGGAGAAAGUGUCCUCUCCCACAAAUGCCUCUCCAGCUCCCUGGGCUGUCAUCGGUCAUGAGAACCGUGAGUCCCAGACAGUGGGGGCUGCUUUAGCCUGGACUCAGAAUGAGAAAAUACAUAGGGAAGCUCUGCACUCACCCCACAGCCUGGAGCCCAGCCCAGGAGAGCCCUGAUGAACCCCAGCUAACCCACAGACCCCUGGGUGAGAAAUAAAUGUUUACUUUUAAUGACCUAUCAAGCCAUGAAAAACAUGGACGAACCUUAAAUGCAUAUUGCUAAGUGAAAGAAGCCAGUCUGAAGAGGCUACAUACUAUAUGAUUCCAACAAUAUGAGCUUCUGGAAAAGGCAAAACCGUAAGGGGACACGGGUUCAAGCCCUGGUCUGGGAAGAUCCCACAUGCCAUGGAGCAACUAAGCCAUGGAGCAACUAAGCCCUUGAGCCACAACUACUGAGCCUGUGCUCUAGAGCCUGCAAGCCACAACUACUUUGGCCACAUGCCACAACUACUGAAGCCCGUGUGCCUGGAACCCGUGCUCCGCAACAAGAGAAGCCACUGCAAUAAGAAGCCCGCGCACCUCAACAAAGAGCAGCCCCCGCUCACCGCAACUAGAGAAAGCCCACGUGCAGCAACGAAGACCCAAUGCAGCCAAAAAUAAAUAAAUAAUAUAAAUAAAUUUAUAAAAAUAAAUCCUC